UACGGAGGGGGCUAGCGUUGUUCGGAAUGACUGGGCGUAAAGCGCGCGUAGGCGGAUCAGAAAGUUGGGGGUGAAAUCCCGGGGCUCAACCUCGGAACUGCCUUUGAUACUGGAUGUCUUGAGUGUGAGAGAGGUGAGUGGAACUCCGAGUGUAGAGGUGAAAUUCGUAGAUAUUCGGAAGAACACCAGUGGCGAAGGCGACUCACUGGCUCAUUACUGACGCUGAGGCUCGAAAGCGUGGGGAGCAAACAGG
rnacentral:rRNA from 1 species